CACUACAAAAGAAUAUCUCUGCAGACAGUGAAAAAGGGAUAGGAAAUGCAAAGGAUUUAACGAAUUAUGAAAAAGCGAGUUUGGAGGGGAAUACGAAAGGGAUAGAUCCGGCAGCAAGUGCAAACAAUGCGGAGAAAGAUGCAAUCAUUGGGGAAGUAGAAACCUCUGCCAUUGGGAAGGAAGGGGCUGGAAACUUAAAACAUGCUGCAAAAGGAUUUGUGUCAUUCACCUACGGUCGUGUCCCAGAGACAUUG